AUGAACGCUGGCGGCGUGCCUAAUACAUGCCAGUCGAACGAAACUUCUUUAUCACCGAGUGCUUGCACUCACCGAUAAAGAGUUGAGUGGCGAACGGGUGAGUAACACGUGGGCAACCUGCCCAAAAGAGGGGGAUAACACUUGGAAACAGGUGCUAAUACCGCAUAACCAUAGUUACCGCAUGGUAACUAUGUAAAAGGUGGCUAUACUACCGCUUUUGGAUGGGCCCGCGGCGCAUUAGCUAGUUGGUAGGGUAAAGGCUUACCAAGGCAAUGAUGCGUAGCCGAAUUGAGAGGUUGAUCGGCCACAUUGGGACUGAGACACGGCCCAAACUCCUACGGGAGGCAGCAGUAGGGAAUCUUCCACAAUGGGCGAAAGCCUGAUGGAGCAACGCCGCGUGGGUGAAGAAGGUCUUCGGAUCGUAAAACCCUGUUGUUGGAGAAGAAAGUGCGUGAGAGUAACUGUUCACGUUUCGACGGUAUCUAACCAGAAAGCCACGGCUAACUACGUG
rnacentral:rRNA from 1 species